ACGUUUCACUUUUUGGAGGUUUGGUUGUUGUCUAAUCUGUAGACAGUUCUCUAUCUUGCGGCAGGAGAUUGUAUUUUUGAAGUCUGAGAUUUGUAAAUUAUCUGGUAAACAAACUCAGACUGGAACUGCUGCAAAGCCACUGCCGCAGAGACAUACUAGGAAUGGCAGAUGGAUUACUGUAGAAUCUGGUAGACUUAGAGUUGUGGAUAAAAGGCAUUUUGCACAGUCUGUUGC